GGGGUUAUAGCUCAGUUGGGAGAGCAGCAGACUGAAGUUGGAAGGAAAGCGCGCUUACCUCUAGCGUUCUGAAGGUCCUGUGUUCAAUCCACAGUAACCCCA